CUCACUGCAACCUCUGCCUCCCAGGUUCAAGUGAUUCUGCCUCAGCCUCCUGAGUAGCUGGGAUUACAGGCAUGUCCCACCAAGCCCAGACAUGAACUUAUGAAUUCAACACAUGAAGAUUUACAGCUUGACAAACCAGCUUCAGGAGGGAUUGUGCUGCAUUCGAACAUAGGUUCUGCCAUCAAACACAGAAUGCCCUGAUCCUUAGAGGCAGAGGCAGCUCUUCAGCCUAUGGGGGAGGCAGACCAGUUUUACAAAUAGCUGCUGGCCUGGAGAAUAACAGUUUCUACCAAGAAUCCUGACUACUCUGUGUCUGAUGACUGGAACUUACCGAGCGCUGCUUAGUUGCAUCAUAGACACCACCUGUCUUUGAACAGCUACCCUGCC
rnacentral:lncRNA from 1 species